AUAAAAUAGCCCAAGGCGAUAAAUACUGCCUGUCUUAGGUUAUUUACUUAGUUUGUUCAUAUUGAUUAAAGAUGAAAACUCUUGAAAGAGUGACUUAUUUUUUAGGUGUUGAUUAAAGAUGAAAACGUUUUAAAGAGUGAGUGAAAGCUUGGAAAAACAUUUGUUGACGUUUGCUUAGAAAUAGUGGUUAUAAGGGCAUUUCAAUUCCCUUGUGGUCAACAUAAGAG
rnacentral:lncRNA from 1 species